CCAUUCUCCUGCCUCAGCCUCCGGAGCAGCUGGGAUUACAGGCGCCCGCCAUCACGCCCAGAAAAAUAGAAUAUAAAAACUUCUCUACUCCUGACUCACCAACGCACCGGAACAACUUUUAGUCCUGCAAUCAUGAAGCAUUGAUUGAACAUCUUCUACAUAUUAUCACCACCCUGGACACUACAACAACAAAGAAG